AUGGAACUGCUCCCGCCAGUAAUCCGUGCAGCAACAGAUGAUCCAUUAUAUUGGCCAGCUACUCUAGUGGCCUCUCUAACAAUGACCAUGUUUACAUGCGCACAAUAUUCCGGAUAGUAGCUCAUAUCCGUUCACAUGUACUUCUGAUAUCCUGCUCAUGAGUAUCCUUGUAUCAAUGAAUAAACUAAACUAAGGCAGGUAUUUUUCAACUCAACCAGACCAGGCCCUCCUCGGAGUUUUCAUACCUGAACAGCACUUUAUUUGCCAAGCCAUCUUUGCUUGAAGAAAGUCUCCAAGCCUUGGGUCUAAUUCGUCAUGGAAACCAUUCGAUAUGAUUGGUCAUCGCCCGCCGAGAAAAGUGUACUUUUUCACCGCCUCCCACGCCACCUUCACACCGCCCUCUCCGCUUCUCACCGCUUUCCUUCCAUUGAAAUGAAUGGGAAGCAGUGUUUAACCGCGCGGCCACCUGUGCUAUUGUAUCACGAGGGGUGCAUUCAUUGCUAUGCAAAAUAACAAUUCAUAAAGUCCAUCAAAAAGUCCAUAGUCACAACCACAGAAGAAGAAGUCCAUAGUCACAACCACAGAAGAAGAAGUCCAUAGUCACAACCACAGAAGAAGAAGUCCAUAGUCACAACCACAGAAGAAGAAAAGUAGGAGUUGAAGAGACAUCUUUAUCCUCCUCGUAGGUCAAAUACAUGUUUUGCCUCCAGUCCUUGUUGCUAAAAUGAACGAAAGAGUCAUUUAGAAAUGAAAGCAGUUCCCUUGCCUUCCUCCUCAUUAUGGUCCAUAAUAAUCCAAGUAGAUAUGAGGAGGAUAAUGUCAUUUACAACCUCAAGGAAAGAAAACGUGGGGGAAAAUUGCAUUGCCAUAAUAAAACAGACUAGAACCUUU